GGGAAAUGUGGGGAAUUGGGGUUUUGGGUGGGCAGACUGAGAAAUAUUUUUACAUGAUGAUAUCUCUUCAACAAUGAGUGUUUUGGGAGUGAUUCAAUCAGCAUUGUAUCGGCCAUUCAUUGGGCUCAGGAGCUUCUCCUCUCUGACGUGCCGCGUGGUAUCGGCGGCGCCGACACCGCUCACCUCGCCCGGACUGCUGGACGCGUGCGUGCGCCUCUGGCCAGCCGCCGGUCAGCUGCGCACCGCCAUGCGCGUGCAUUUUCCGCGGCCGCGCGAAGUGAAACGGCUGCGCACCCACGGCUGGAAGACGCGCCUGCAGACCCCGGCCGGCCGGCGCAUCAUCAUGCGGCGACUGCUCAAGGGUCGCCACGUGCUAUCCCACUGAGAGGUAACCGCGCCUGUACUGCUGUGUGUGUGAUUACGGCUGAACGCUGCACUGGUCGACAAGCAUAGGGCCGACCGCUGCUGACAGACGCACGUGGUGUGACCCGUGAGGGAUUACCUAGGUGUAACUUGAGUGAAAUUGUUGGUCCAUGUGACAUUCAAAUCAGGACAUAGCUCGUUUUUGUAUGCCGAUUGCCGAUACUGUCGGAACUGAAAUACAAAUUAAAGAGAGAUGCAA
rnacentral:misc_RNA from 1 species